rnacentral:rRNA from 1 species
CGGAGGGUGCAAGCGUUAUCCGGAUUCACUGGGUUUAAAGGGUGCGUAGGAGGGCAGGUAAGUCAGUGGUGAAAUCUCCAAGCUUAACUUGGAAACUGCCGUUGAUACUAUCUGUCUUGAAUACCGUGGAGGUGAGCGGAAUAUGUCAUGUAGCGGUGAAAUGCUUAGAUAUGACAUGGAACACCAAUUGCGAAGGCAGCUCACUACACGAAUAUUGACUCUGAGGCACGAAAGCGUGGGGAUCAAACAGGAUU